GGAUACUGGAGUGAUGGAGGUAGAUAUGUAUAGGGGACAGGGAUACUGUAGUGAUGGAGGUCGAUAUAUGUAUAGGGGGAAGGAGACAGGGAUACUGGAGUGAUGGAGGUAGAUAUGUAUAGGGGGAAGGGGACAGGGAUACUGGAGUGAUGGAGGUAGAUAUGUAUAGGGGACAGGGAUACUGGAGUGAUGGAGGUAGAUAUGUAUAGGGGGAAGGGGACAGGGAUACUGGAGUGAUGGAGGUAGAUAUGUAUAGGGGACAGGGAUACUGGAGUGAUGGAGGUAGAUAUGUAUAGGGGGAAGGAGACAGGGAUACUGGAGUGAUGGAGGUAGAUAUGUAUAGGGGGAAGGGGAC
rnacentral:lncRNA from 1 species